rnacentral:rRNA from 1 species
UACGGAGGGUGCAAGCGUUAUCCGGAUUCACUGGGUUUAAAGGGAGCGUAGGCGGCUUUGCAAGUCGGGUGUGAAAUCCCCAGGCUUAACCUGGGAACUGCAUUCGAGACUGCAUUGCUAGAGUAUGGGAGAGGGAAGUGGAAUUUCCGGUGUAGCGGUGAAAUGCGUAGAUAUCGGAAGGAACAUCAGUGGCGAAAGCGACUUCCUGGACCAAUACUGACGCUCAUGUGCGAAAGCGUGGGGAGCAAACAGG